ACUGUUCGCACUAUCUGUAGUCAUGUACAGAACAUGAUCAAGGGUGUUACGCUGGGCUUCCGUUACAAGAUGAGGUCUGUGUAUGCUCACUUUCCCAUCAACGUCGUUAUUCAAGAGAAUGGGUCUCUUGUUGAAAUCCGAAAUUUCUUGGGUGAAAAAUACAUCCGCAGGGUUCGAAUGAGACCAGGUGUUGCUUGUUCACUCUCUCAAGCCCAGAAAGAUGAGUUAAUCCUUGAAGGAAAUGACAUUGAACUUGUCUCAAAUUCUUUGAUCCAGCAAGUCACAACAGUUAAAAACAAGGAUAUCAGAAAAAUUUGGGAUGGUAUCUAUGUCUCUGAAAAAGGAAAAGUUCAGCAGGCUGAUGAAUAAGAAGUAAGAGUUGUCCAGCUGGAGAAACAAGCCACAAGAUGAUUCCCAAGACAUGCUUGUAAAUUUUAAUGAUGGAAUAAAAGACCUAUUCAUUUGGGAAAAAAAAAAAUAAAAUAAAAUAAAAUAAAA